rnacentral:rRNA from 1 species
AACGGCCGCGGUAUCUUGACCGUGCAAAGGUAGCGCAAUCACUUGUCUUUUAAAUGAAGACCUGUAUGAAUGGCAUAACGAGGGCUUAACUGUCUCCUUUUUCCUAUCAAUGAAAUUGAUCUCCCCGUGCAGAAGCGGGGAUAAAAACAUAAGACGAGAAGACCCUAUGGAGCUUAAAACGCAAGAACAGAAUAAUACUCCUUCAUACAAGCCAAAAUAUGAAAUCCAAUUAUAAACCUGUUCAAAUGUUUUUGGUUGGGGCGACCACGGAGUAUAAUUAAACCUCCACGAGGAAUAAAGACAUUCCUUUUCAUUUAAGGGUGACAACCCUAAAAAACAGAACAUCUGACCACCUUGAUCCGGCAAAGCCGAUCAACGAACCGAGUUACCCUAGGGAUAACAGCGCAAUCCUCUUUUAAAGUCCCUAUCGACAAGAAGGUUUACGACCUCGAUGUUGGAUCAGGACAUCCUAAU